GUGCCCGUCCACCGAACGGUCGGCAGGCGAUCCGCGUCGGUCGCGCUGGGUGGUAUGGUUCCCCAGAGGCCGGUUCUUGUGCUGCCUACCCCUUCAGGGGAAGAGUUCCAAACUCGAUGUAAGCCUCCAUCCGGCGCCCUCCAAAGGGCGCGGGAGGACAACGGAGCACCCCCCGCGUUCCACCGAGCCUCCUCGGUCGCGUGGCCCGCGGGGACGUGCGAUGCUCUCGGACCCAGCGAACGCCGUGGGCGAGGACUCACGUCCCGGUCCCAAGUGAAGCAACGGUAUAACGCACGACGGCCGGUCCCGCCCCCCGACCGGCCCGGCGGCGCGGGGGCCAAAGCGCGGCGUCGCUGAGGAAUGCU
rnacentral:misc_RNA from 1 species